rnacentral:rRNA from 1 species
UACGUAGGGUGCAAGCGUUAAUCGGAAUUACUGGGCGUAAAGCGUGCGCAGGCGGUUUUGUAAGUCUGAUGUGAAAUCCCCGGGCUCAACCUGGGAAUUGCAUUGGAGACUGCAAGGCUAGAAUCUGGCAGAGGGGGGGUAGAAUUCCACGUGUAGCAGUGAAAUGCGUAGAGAUGUGGAGGAACACCGAUGGCGAAGGCAGCCCCCUGGGUCAAGAUUGACGCUCAUGCA